rnacentral:rRNA from 1 species
AUUGAACGCUGGCGGCAGGCUUAACACAUGCAAGUCGAGCGGGGGAAGGUAGCUUGCUACCGGACCUAGCGGCGGACGGGUGAGUAAUGCUUAGGAAUCUGCCUAUUAGUGGGGGACAACAUCUCGAAAGGGAUGCUAAUACAGCAUACGUCCUACGGGAGAACGCAGGGGAUCUUCGGACCUUGCGCUAAUAGAUGAGCCUAAGUCGGAGUAGCUAGUUGGUGGGGUAAAGGCCUACCAAGGCGACGAUCUGUAGCGGGUCUGAGAGGAUGAUCCGCCACACUGGGACUGAGACACGGCCCAGACUCCUACGGGAGGCAGCAGGGGGGAAUAUUGGACAAUGGGGGGAACCCUGAUCCAGCCAUGCCGCGUGUGUGAAGAAGGCCUUAUGGUUGUAAAGCACUUUAAGCGAGGAGGAGGCUACUCUAGUUAAUACCUAGGGAUAGUGGACGUUACUCGCAGAAUAAGCACCGGCUAACUCUGUGCCAGCCGCCGCAGUAA